GCCUGGGUGGCUCAGUCGGUUAAGCGUCUGACUUCAGCUCAGGUCAUGAUCUCACAGUUCGUGGGUUCGAGCCCCGCGUUGGGCU
rnacentral:tRNA from 1 species